rnacentral:rRNA from 1 species
UCGAGAAUUUUUCACAAUGGGGGAAACCCUGAUGAAGCAACGCCGCGUGGAGGAUGAAGGGCUUCGCGCUCGUAAACUCCUGUCAAGCGGGAACAAGAAAGUGAUAGUACCGCUAGAGGAAGAGACGGCUAACUCUGUGCCAGCAGCCGCGGUAAUACAGAGGUCUCGAGCGUUGUUCGGAUUUAUUGGGCGUAAAGGGUGCGUAGGCGGUGUGGCAAGUCAAGUGUGAAAUCUCGGAGCUCAACUUUGAAACUGCACUUGAUACUGCCGUGCUAGAGGGUUGUAGAGGAGAUCGGAAUUCACGGUGUAGCAGUGAAAUGCGUAGAUAUCGUGAGGAAGACCAGUUGCGAAGGCGGAUCUCUGGGCAAUUCCUGACGCUGAGGCACGAAGGCUAGGGGAGCGAACGG